rnacentral:rRNA from 1 species
GAUGAACGCUGGCGGCGUGCCUAAUACAUGCAAGUCGAGCGAACAGAUGAGGAGCUUGCUCCUCUGACGUUAGCGGCGGACGGGUGAGUAACACGUGGAUAACCUACCUAUAAGACUGGGAUAACUUCGGGAAACCGGAGCUAAUACCGGAUAAUAUAUUGAACCGCAUGGUUCAAUAGUGAAAGACGGUUUUGCUGUCACUUAUAGAUGGAUCCGCGCCGCAUUAGCUAGUUGGUAAGGUAACGGCUUACCAAGGCAACGAUGCGUAGCCGACCUGAGAGGGGGAUCGGCCACACUAGAACUGGGACACGGUCCAGACUCCUACGAGAGGCAGCAGUAGGGAAUCUUCCGCAAUGGGCGAAAGCCUGACGGAGCAACGCCGCGUGAGUGAUGAAGGUCUUCGGAUCGUAAAACUCUGUUAUUAGGGAUGAACAAAUGUGUAAGUAACUAUGCACGUCUUGACGGUACCUAAUCAGAAAGCCACGGCUAACUACGUG